GGACGGUGACUGGGGUCGCAGCUUCCUUCACACGGAAGAGGUCAUCGGUUCGAGUCCGGUAUCGCCCA
rnacentral:tRNA from 3 species